AGACCCGAAACCCGGUGAUCUAGCCAUGGGCAGGUUGAAGGUUGGGUAACACUAACUGGAGGACCGAACCGACUAAUGUUGAAAAAUUAGCGGAUGACCUGUGGCUGGGGGUGAAAGGCCAAUCAAACCGGGAGAUAGCUGGUUCUCCCCGAAAGCUAUUUAGGUAGCGCCUCGUGAAUUCAUCUCCGGGGGUAGAGCACUGUUUCGGCCAGGGGGCCAUCCCGGCUUACCAAUCCGAUGCAAACUGCGAAUACCGGAGAAUGUUAUCACGGGAGACACACGGCGGGUGCUAACGUCCGUCGUGAAGAGGGAAACAACCCAGACCGCCAGCUAAGGUCCCAAAGUCAUGGUUAAGUGGGAAACGAUGUGGGAAGGCCCAGACAGCCAGGAUGUUGGCUUAGAAGCAGCCAUCAUUUAAAGAAAGCGUAAUAGCUCACUGGUCGAGUCGGCCUGCGCGGAAGAUGUAACGGGGCUAAACCAUGCACCGAAGCUGCGGCAGCGACACUGAUGUGUUGUUGGGUAGGGGAGCGUUCUGUAAGCCGUUGAAGGUGGCCUGUGAGGGUUGCUGGAGGUAUCAGAAGUGCGAAUGCUGACAUAAGUAACGAUAAAGCGGGUGAAAAGCCCGCUCGCCGGAAGACCAAGGGUUCCUGUCCAACGUUAAUCGGGGCAGGGUGAGUCGACCCCUAAGGCGAGGCCGAAAGGCGUAGUCGAUGGGAAACGGGUUAAUAUUCCCGUACUUGGUGUUACUGCGAAGGGGGGACGGAGAAGGCUAUGUUGGCCGGGCGACGGUUGUCCCGGUUUAAGCGUGUAGGUGUGUGUUCCAGGUAAAUCCGGUUCACUUUAACACUGAGGCGUGAUGACGAGGCACCACGGUGCUGAAGCAACAAAUGCCCUGCUUCCAGGAAAAGCCUCUAAGCCUCAGGUAACAUCAAAUCGUACCCCAAACCGACACAGGUGGUCAGGUAGAGAAUACCAAGGCGCUUGAGAGAACUCGGGUGAAGGAACUAGGCAAAAUGGUGCCGUAACUUCGGGAGAAGGCACGCUGACACGUAGGUGAAGUGGUUUACCCAUGGAGCUGAAGUCAGUCGAAGAUACCAGCUGGCUGCAACUGUUUAUUAAAAACACAGCACUGUGCAAACACGAAAGUGGACGUAUACGGUGUGACGCCUGCCCGGUGCCGGAAGGUUAAUUGAUGGGGUCAGCGCAAGCGAAGCUCCUGAUCGAAGCCCCGGUAAACGGCGGCCGUAACUAUAACGGUCCUAAGGUAGCGAAAUUCCUUGUCGGGUAAGUUCCGACCUGCACGAAUGGCGUAAUGAUGGCCAGGCUGUCUCCACCCGGGACUCAGUGAAAUUGAACUCGCUGUGAAGAUGCAGUGUACCCGCGGCAAGACGGAAAGACCCCGUGAACCUUUACUAUAGCUUGACACUGAACACUGGUCCUUGAUGUGCAGGAUAGGUGGGAGGCUUUGAAGUGUGGACGCCAGUCUGCAUGGAGCCAUCCUUGAAAUACCACCCUUUAAUGG
rnacentral:rRNA from 2 species